rnacentral:lncRNA from 1 species
UACAAAAUGUACAAAAUUCAAAACCCACCACUCUUAGUUUUUUAUUUUUUUUUAUUUUUUUGAGGAAUGCUUCAAUACACCAUAAAUAUUAAAAUUUAAUCUCUUAAUUAAUAAAAGGUAUAGUUGGGAUUUAUAUGAAAUAACCUGUUGAACAGGUUACCAAUUUGAAUUAGUUAAUAUUAGAAAAAAAUUAUUAUAUACCAAAUUUGUAAAUAUCCUUUAAAUAUUAAAUAUCUUAUCUACUUUGAUAACUUACCAAAUUAGACGAUACCCAAUUUAUUAAGGUAGCGUUUGGUUGGGGAACAAGGGGGGAAUAAGCCCUUGUUCCCCCCUUUGUUCCCAAGUAUAUAGCUCAAAAAAAAUAUUGAAUUUAAAUUUAAUUUUUGAAAUUGGUAUUGUAAUGUAAAAUUUUAAUUU